GGGAAGGUGGCUCAGUGGUAGAGUGCUUGCCUCGCACGCAUGAGGCCCUGGGUUCGAUGCCUCAGCCCA
rnacentral:tRNA from 1 species